UAGAACAUGAUAAUGUUUGGUGCCAUUAUUAGAGAUAAUGGUAGCUUUAUUUGGUGGGAUGAAUCAUCAUGAGCUAGCAUUCAUGUUUCUUCAUUAUCUCUCUCAUUUCUAAACGAAAUUUCGAGAUUCCAAAUCCUAUGAACUCCUAGAAAAUUUCUAAGUGUGGACUAAUUAGAGGCAUCACAAUUGGGGUGCUUUAAGGAUCUCAGAUCGUGGCAAAACAGAAGCUGUUCGUGCAGAGCUGUAUUUUCUGGACAGUGUUCGUUGCUUGCUGUUUUCAGUCAUUUUCUCCUACUUCACGAAGUCGUUUUCGAAACUGCAAGUGAGGUAAUUAAACUUCAAUCUUUCUUCUUGAUUUUAGUUUUUGAAUGAAGCUGAUCCGAGGUUUCUAGAGCUUCCGCCAUCCGUUUUAUUUUUACUGCACAAAAGUUGCGAUUUUAGGAAUCUCAUGGACAAAUGUUGUCCUUCAAGUGGUAUCAGAGCCAUCUUCAUUCAAUUUCGAAUUUUUGAAGCAUGAUAUAUGUUAUUUCCAUUUAUAAUAGCAUGAAGGAUGAUCAUGGAAAGAUCUGGAUAUUUUAUGAUAUAUUUAUGUCAUGUGAUGAUUGAAUAUAUGCGUGAUUGAAUGAGCUAUUGAUUUAUUUGUUGAUUUGGCCGAUUUCUAAAGGCUUAAAUGGUUGUAAUAUUUUUAAAUAGGGACUUGCAUGUCUCUGCUUCUAUUAAGAUCUGAUUGUAUCCCAUUACCCUAAAUUUGUACCCCAAUUCUUCUAAAUAUGUAAUUUCUACAAGUGAGUGAGGAGGGACGGCGAAUUUACGAUGCCUUGGAGGUUGGAGCAAGAAGUCUUUAUGGAUCGUUGCAGCACUUCCAAUGAUAUUUUGGCCAUUCAAAUAGAAAUUAAUAAUUGUAAUAAUUUGAGGCAUGAGAUGUCUCAUAAUCAUUAUUGUUUGCUUGAUACCUAGGUGGACCUUAAAACCAAUUUUGGCUCAAAUUGGUUUUAUUAGAAAAUUCCAUGAUCAUCCUUAGUUGGUGUGUCUAUAAUAUGCAUGAGAUGUAUAUUAGGGUGCUUAGACAUAUUUGAAUUUAGAAAAUGGAAUAACAUGCUAAAAAGUGAGACCAUAAUAAUGACCAAAUACUCCCUUAUUAAAUAAACAUAAUUAUUGUUAAGUUGUAAUGAUGAAUAUUGAGAAUAUCCAUCAUGGCCUACUAAUACCAAUGGAAUAUUUAAAAUAUUUUAUGCUUGGGCUAGUUGUCAUGGAUACAUGGGCUACUCAUUCAUUAAAAUGUUGAAAACAAACCAUAUAUCAUGCGAUGAUGCGUGAUUCAUACAUUAAGCUACCAAUAACUGUUAGGUGAGGUUAGUAAGAUGUUUUGAAAUAUGCAAGGGUAUUAGGGUAAACUUAACUAAAUCAUUUAUACUAAGAACUGUUAGGUGAGGUAUUAAUGAUUUAGAGGCCGAAGGAUAAUCGGUACAUGCAUGAGAUGCAUUUGGUAAGAGUUACCUACUCAUUAUAAUAAGUAAGCCAAGAACUGUUAGGUAAGGUAAACUUAUGCUAAUGAGAAUCCAAUUCCUACUAGAAACUUUUACCAAUGAGAGUUUCUGUUUCUUACAUAUGGGAGUGUAAUGAAAUGAUAAAAUAGUGGGAGGUACUAUUUGGUUUAAAGACCAAAAUCAAAUAGAUUAUAAUAAAAUAAAAUGCUAAUAAUUUAAUUUAUAUUUUCUGCAGAAAUAUUUAAUAAUGAAUAAUUCGUUGGCACGAAUUCUGGAAAACUAC
rnacentral:lncRNA from 1 species